UAUUAAAAAUUUCAUUCAUUUCUACUGUUAAAAAUUGUUAUGGCUCACAAAAUAACCAAAUAGUGACACGUGGUACCUCAUGCUGACGUACAAGGACCAAUUUUUAAUGGUAGAAAUGGAUGAAAUUUUUAACA
rfam:Gossypium hirsutum cultivar TM-1 chromosome 15, whole genome shotgun sequence